GUCUACGGCCAUACCAUUCUGAAUGCGUCCGACUCAUCUGAUCUUGGAAGCUAAGCAGGGUCGGGCCUGGUUAGUACUUGGAUGGGAGACCGCGUGGGAAUACUGGGUGCUGUAGGCU
rnacentral:rRNA from 1 species